GGUUGUGGCUUAGUGGUAGAGCGCUUGCCUAGCAUGCGUGAGGCACUGGGUUGGAUCCCCGACACCA
rnacentral:tRNA from 1 species